UACAGAGGUUGCAAGCGUUGUUCGGAAUCACUGGGCAUAAAGGGCGCGUAGGCGGCGAGGCAAGUCGGGUGUGAAAUCCCUCAGCUCAACUGAGGAACUGCGCCCGAAACUACCUUGCUAGAGUGCAGGAGAGGAGAGUGGAACUCCUAGUGGAGCGGUGAAAUGCGUAGAUAUCUGGAGGAACACCGGUGGCGAAGGCGGCAUCCUGGACCGAGAUUGACGCUGAGGCGCGAAAGCCAGGGGAGCAAACGGG
rnacentral:rRNA from 1 species